UGGGCUGAAGUAGAGACUCAAAG
rnacentral:piRNA from 1 species